rnacentral:misc_RNA from 1 species
GAUGAAGAACGUAGCGAAAUGCGAUAAGUAGUGUGAAUUGCAGAAUUCAGUGAAUCAUCGAAUCUUUGAACGCACAUUGCGCCCCUUGGUAUUCCAUGGGGCAUGCCUGUUCGAGCGUCAUUUGUACCUUCAAGCUCUGCUUGGUGUUGGGUGUUUGUCUCGCCUCUGCGUGUAGACUCGCCUCAAAACAAUUGGCAGCCGGCGUAUUGAUUUCGGAGCGCAGUACAUCUCGCGCUUUGCACUCAUAACGACGAAGUCCAAAAGUACAUUUUUACACUCUUGACCUCGGAUCAGGUAGGGAUACCCGCUGAACUUAAGCAUAUCAAUAAGCGGAGGA